rfam:Roseovarius mucosus DSM 17069 Contig77-3, whole genome shotgun sequence.
GGCCACCCUCGGGGGGCUAUAACAUAGGCGGGGCAUCCCGCCGUAAGCAAACGGAAGACAGAAA